UCACUGUCUUAACAUUGUCGUUGCCUG
rnacentral:sRNA from 1 species